CAUGGCUUUUUGAAAAUAAUUUAAGGUUAAAUCUGCUCAAUGAAAAUUAAAUAGCUGUAGUAAAUUAACUGUACAAAGGUAGCAUAAUAAUUUGUCUUUUUAUUGAAGACUUGAAUGAAGGAUUAGACGGAAAUUAGACUGUCUCAUUAUUAGAGAAUGAAUUUUACUUUUUAGUUAAAAGGCUAAAAUGAAUUUCUUAGACGAGAAGACCCUAUAGAGUUUAAUUAAUAAUGUAUUAGCAAGUUGGGGGAGAAUAUAAAAAUUAAUUUGAUUGGGGUGGUUUCAGGAUUUAUAGAACUCCUGUUUAUUAAAUGAAGAUUUUUAGGAAAUUGAUUAGUUUUUUAGUAUUUUAGAUAAAAUUACCUUAGGGAUAACAGCGUUAAAUUUACUAGAGUUCAUAUUGAAAUAAAUUUUGCGACCUCGAUGUUGGAUUAAGAUAAAUUUUGGGAGAAGAAUUUCUUAGUUUAGGUCUGUUCGACCUUUAAAAUCUUACAUGAUCUGAGU
rnacentral:rRNA from 1 species